GGAGAGCCGAACUACAGAAGCGGACGUCACCGCAGAAGAGCGAAGCUGCUAUAAAGCAACCGCGGAGACAGAAACGUUAAUUUCAGAUAAAAGAACAUGGCUUGGAAGUGGAAUUCCGUGUGGAUCGGCAUGAUGUUGCUGCAGACUUUAGCCAGGGAAUCAGUGGACGUGUGUAUAAAAAACAAAGCUGCUUACACUUUCCCAAAACCAAUGAAUGGCUUUACCAGUGUGAGUCAUAAGAUGAAAGACCUCUGCCAUCUCAGUGUUAACGAUGUACUGGCUGGCUCCUGUGUUUCCUGUUCUGAUCUGCAGCUGUGCUUCAAUACAUCUCUCUACCUUACUCUGCACUUCCCAUCCGUGUCAGAAAGAAACCGAGGCAGAUACACAGUCUCCUGGGAAGUGAAUGACGGAGGUGGAGAAUCCAGCUU